AAUUCGUAACAAGGUUUCCGUAGGGGAUGCGGAAGGAUCAUUAACACGUAUCCAAACGUUAAAACCCCCCGUGAACCUUUAUUGUGGCACGCCUAUCCGUUAGAAAGUGGCAAUCCCUGGUAAAUCAUCGCCGAACAGUUUUGAUUCAGGGACUUCUGCGUGGGUAGGACAACUGCGCGAGCAAGUGGCCUGGCAUCCCUCUGCUUGUUAGUGUCUGAAAGUGUCACUAGCUCUGUACGGGUGGCGCAAUCACGAUCGCUAGAGGCCAACACGGCCGGCGACCGGGUCAAUGGGCCCUCGGCCCCCUAAUCACCUUUGCAUGAAAACGGGCCUGCGCUUAAUUGUGCGGCCACCAAACUCGAACAACUGUUAACAAUGGAUAUCUUGGUUCUC
rnacentral:misc_RNA from 1 species